rnacentral:rRNA from 1 species
GACGAACCGUGCGAACGUUGUUCGGAAUCACUGGGCUUAAAGGGCGCGUAGGCGGGUUGUCAAGUCCGGGGUGAAAGCCCCCAGCUCAACUGGGGAAGUGCCUUGGAUACUGGGAACCUCGAGGGAGGUAGGGGCGUGCGGAACUUCCGGUGGAACGGUGAAAUGCGUAGAUAUCGGAAGGAACACCGGUGGCGAAGGCGACUACCUGGCCUGUUCUUGACGCUGAGGCGCGAAAGCUAGGGGAGCAAACGGG